rnacentral:rRNA from 1 species
GACGAACGCUGGCGGCGUGCUUAACACAUGCAAGUCGAACGGAAAGGCCCUGCUUUUGUUGGUUGCUCGAGUGGCGAACGGGUGAGUAACACGUGAGUAACCUGCCCUUGACUUUGGGAUAACUUCAGGAAACUGGGGCUAAUACCGGAUAUGAGCUCCUGCUGCAUGGUGGGGGUUGGAAAGUUUCGGCGGUUGUGGAUGGACUGGCGGCUUAUCAGCUGGUUGGUGGGGUAGUUGCUUACCAAGGGUUUGACGGGUAGCCGGCCUGAGAGGGUGACCGGCCACAUGGGGACUGAGAUACGGACCAGACUCCUACGGGAGGCAGAAGUGGGGAAUAUUGCAAAAUGGGCGGAAGCCUGAUGCAGCAACGCCGCGUGCGGGAUGACGGCCUACGGGUUGUAAACCGCUUUCGCCUGUGACGAAGCGUGAGUGACGGUAAUGGGUAAAGAAGCACCGGCUAACUACGUG